rnacentral:lncRNA from 1 species
ACAGCCUUCUCCUCCAUCCUCCCAUAGCCUCUCCAGCCAAUGUCCCCAGUGGCUCCCCCUGGUCCUCUCUUUGCUGUGUGCAUCACCUCCCUAGGCGUAUCUCCCGCUCCACAGCUUGUGCAGCCAGAUUCCAGCUCCCUGGGGCUAGCAGAAGAAGACCUCAUUGGAGAGGACGACGACAUGCCAUCCUUCCGAUACAGACCAGACGGCAGGACACGGACCAACUGCAGCCGGUGCCAGAAGAAUCUGUCGCUCCAGACCUCCGUCAAAGGGCUGUACGUCUUCUGUGUCUUGCUGAUCAUCGCCGUGAUGGUGCUGGCGUCCCUGGGUAAGCGCAGCCUCGGGGGACCCGACUCCCUUUUCCUUCCUGCCUGCCCCUCCCCAGGAAACACGAG